GGAGUACAAGGACUGGAGUUGCUUCCAGAGCCCAGCCUGGAGUGCAUCUGAUUGGAAAGUCCGGCAGCCAGAAGCACCCUGGCCAACUGGGAUUCCUGGGGCUCCAUCUAAAACCGGAUAAACAAUCCCUGGGCAGGGAAGCUGGAAGAGAGAGGAAGCUAAAUGCAAGGCAAUCCUAGAAGGAAACCUUUUGGUACCGUGCAGUUCUCCCUGACUGGUCUGCUGUGUUCCCUGGUCUUCAUGACGAUGUUUGUUCGCUAAUGUUCUUCACAAAACAGUUGCAUUUAUACUGAAAUUAAAUUAAACACAGGAGGACUAUAUUUACUAGUUAGUUUUCUGAAGGUGGUGGGUUGCACUGGAUUGUUAUUUAGGGGCAUUGGAGUGAAAUGGGUGGGGAAAAAAAUGCAUUUUGCACUCUGAUUUUCAUUUGUAAAACAAAAAUGCAAACCAUGAUUUGUUCUUGUCAUUUCAGUACAAUGCACUGCUUGGUUUGUCAUACAAAACACAUUAGAUCUGGGACUGCAAUGUAAAACUGUACAAAGGGGAUGGAUACUUCUGCAAGGCCCUGUGUAAUGAAGGUUCUUUGUAUUAUUUACAACUUGGCCUUUUGGUGUUUUAAGUUAUGAUUUGCAUAAGAGGCUAUUUUCAGGUCAUUAUAUGGAUUGGCGUCAGUGGUUAAUGGUUUUUUAAAAGCCAUGCUACUUUGCAAAUAAAGCAGCAAAGCAGUCUGAAAAGUAUCCUGUAAAAAAUAACACCAGAAGUAAAAAAAUUGAUUCUUAGAA